GUGAAGAACGCAGCGAAAUGCGAUAAGUAGUGUGAAUUGCAGAAUUCAGUGAAUCAUCGAAUCUUUGAACGCACAUUGCGCCCCUUGGUAUUCCGAGGGGCAUGCCUGUUCGAGCGUCAUUUAAACCAAUCUAGCUUGCUAGGUCUUGGGCUUUCGCCUCUGGGCGGGCCUCAAAAUCAGUGGCGGUGCUGCCGGGCUUUAAGCGUAGUAAUCUUUCUCGCUAUAGGGUCCUGGUAGAGGCUUGCCAACAACUAUAAAUCUUUCAAAGGUUGACCUCGGAUCAGGUAGGGAUACCCGCUGAACUUAAGCAUAUCAAUAAGCGGAGGA
rnacentral:misc_RNA from 1 species